GUUAUCUAAAAUCAAAAAAUAUUUUAAUUCACGAAGCCAAGCGAGCUAAAUCUUUUCUUGUCUUUAGAAGAUAAUUUUAGUGUUUCAAUACUAAUAAACUAUUAGAAUUUAGGGGUGAAAGGCCUUUCAAGUCUGGCGAUAUCUUGAUUAUAAGGAAAAAUAUUUAGUAUUAUUUCAACUUAAAAAUGUUAAGGUUUUUAGGUAACAUAUUUUUAAAUUAGUAUCAUAGCUGAAUAUGUAAAAACUACAGUGUAUAUAAUUUUAAUAUAAAAUAUUAUGAAUAUAUGUAAAGUACUUAUAUUUUUUUAUAAAACAUAAAUAAAAGUAAAAAUGAUUACAUUAGUAUAGUAUUAAUUUUUCUUAAGGAACUCGGCAAACCUUUACUCGACUGUUUAACAAAAACAUUGCCUUAAGAAAACAUUUAAGGUUUUCUCUGCUCAAUGAUAGUUUUAAAUAGCCGCAGUACCCUGACUGUGCAAAGGUAGCAUAAUCAGUUGGCUUAUAAUUGAAGUCUAGUAUGAAUGGGAAUCCGGGUAAAAGCUGUCUUAAGUAAAUAACUAGAAUUUACUUAUUAAGUGAAAAUUCUUACAUUAAGAAAAAAGACGAGAAGACCCUAGAAAUUUGUUAUAUAAAUAGUAAAUUAUAAUAUUUUGUUGGGGCGACAUGGUAGCAAUAUAACCUGCUAAAGUUUAUUGGAAAUUAAUAAGUUGUGUAAAAAAAAUUACUCUAGGGAUAACAGCAUUAUUUAUAAAUAAGAUUGUGACCUCGAUGUUGGACUAGGGAAUAUUUUACUUAAAAGGUAAAAUAGUAAGCUCUGUUCGAGCUAAUUUACCUACAUGAUCUGAGUUCAGACCGG
rnacentral:rRNA from 1 species